UGGGGUGGAUGACGGUACCGGAAGAAUAAGCACCGGCUAACUACGUGCCAGCAGCCGCGGUAAUACGUAGGGUGCAAGCGUUAAUCGGAAUUACUGGGCGUAAAGCGUGCGCAGGCGGUUCGCUAAGACAGAUGUGAAAUCCCCGGGCUUAACCUGGGAACUGCAUUUGUGACUGGCGGGCUAGAGUAUGGCAGAGGGGGGUAGAAUUCCACGUGUAGCAGUGAAAUGCGUAGAGAUGUGGAGGAAUACCGAUGGCGAAGGCAGCCCCCUGGGCCAAUACUGACGCUUAUGCACGAAAGCGUGGGGAGCAAACAGGAUUAGAUACCCUGGUAGUCCACGCCCUAAACGAUGUCAACUAGUUGUCGGGUCUUHAUUGACUUGGUAACGUACUAACGCGUAUC
rnacentral:rRNA from 1 species